rnacentral:lncRNA from 1 species
GGGAUGGCUAAAGAACUUAAUGUUAAAAAGCUGAAGAUCUUCACUGAUUCUUAGCUUGUCGUCGGUCAAAUACAAGGUCAAUUUGAAACUAAAGAUUCUAUUUUAUCUCAAUAUUUACAUAAUAUGAAAGAAUUGUCAAAAAGCUUUGAAGAUAUAAAAAUCAUCUAGAUAUCCAGAUCGAAAAAUGCUUGAGCUGAUGCUCUAUCU